rnacentral:rRNA from 1 species
GACGAACGCUGGCGGCGUGCUUAACACAUGCAAGUCGAACGGUGAAGCGCCUUCCUUUUUGGUGGGUGUGGAUGAGUGGCGAACGGGUGAGUAACACGUGAGUAACCUGCCCCCUUCUUCUGGAUAACCGCAUGAAAGUGUGGCUAAUACGGGAUAUUCUGGGUCUGUCGCAUGAUGGUUCUGGGAAAGAUCUGGUUUCGGUGGGGGAUGGGCUCGCGGCCUAUCAGCUUGUUGGUGGGGUGAUGGCCUACCAAGGCGGUGACGGGUAGCCGGCCUGAGAGGGUGGACGGUCACACUGGGACUGAGACACGGCCCAGACUCCUACGGGAGGCAGCAGUGGGGAAUAUUGCACAAUGGGCGCAAGCCUGAUGCAGCGACGCCGCGUGAGGGAUGGAGGCCUUCGGGUUGUGAACCUCUUUCGCCAGUGAAGCAGGCCUGCCUCGUUUGUGGGUGGGUUGACGGUAGCUGGAUAAGAAGCGCCGGCUAACUACGUG